rnacentral:rRNA from 2 species
CUGUCCGGAUUAUUGGGCGUAAGCGCGCGCAGGCGGUCUCUUAAGUCUGAUGUGAAAGCCCACGGAUAAACGUGGAGGGUCAUUGGAAACUGGGGGACUUGAGUGCAGAAGAGGAAAGUGGAAUUCCACGUGUAGCGGUGAAAUGCGUAGAGAUGUGGAGGAACACCAGUGGCGAAGGCGACUUUCUGGUCUGUAACUGACGCUGAGGCGCGAAAGCGUGGGGAGCAAACAGGAUUAGAUACCCUGGUAGUCCACGCCGUAAACGAUGAGUGCUAAGUGUUAGAGGGUUUCCGCCCUUUAGUGCUGCAGCAAACGCAUUAAGCACUCCGCCUGGGGAGUACGGCCGCAAGGCUGAAACUCAAAGGAAUUGACGGAGCC